rnacentral:tRNA from 1 species
GGGUCGAUAGCGCAAGCAGUGCGCCCGGGCUCCAAACCCGUGGAGGUUGCGGUUCAAGUCCGUAGCGACCUGCCA